rnacentral:sRNA from 1 species
UUUUUUUUUUUGCUUGUGCUCAUUAAAUAGCAAGGGUCAUCUGUCAGGAUGUUAUGGUGGUGUGCGGUCAGAGCAGAGGGCCUUUCUUUUCCUGUACUGUGCUCUACUUCCUUAUGCAUGCUUGGUUUCAAAGAUGACCGCCACUUUAAAAGAAAGAUUUCCUCACAGCUCUCCAGAGAACUAUCAUACUAAGGUGAUAGGAAAGGCUUCUCGGAUACAAGCCAACAAGUCAGUUUUCUGAUUACAGAAACUCCUCUCACAGGUUGUGUUUGGAAAGGCUGUUCUCCAUUCCACUUAUAAACUGAAAGUGAUAAGCUACUGUCUUGUGAUCUUGCAGGGUCAGUGGUUGACUCACUCAUCUCUGAAAGGUAACUUUGUUCAUAUCUAUGUAUUUCCAAAUCUGGAAGCUUGUAAAUUGAAAGUUUCAGUAUUAGCUUUAUUAUUCUUUCUUGGUGAGGAAUAGAAAUGGCAGCAAAAAGAAAGCCAACAAUCUGAAAACUCCAGUCUCCUCUAACACUGGCUUUGUUUUAAAUCAAGACGGGAAGAGAUACAU